UUAAAGAGUUCUAUAACUCCCAAACCCAUGUGAACAUACCUAACGUUGCCUCGGCAGGUCGCACCUACCUUGUAGCACCCUACCCUGUAGGGCCUACCCGGGAGGUGCGGGUAAGCCUGCCGGCGGCCCACCAAACUCUGUUUGAUAUUGAAUUCUGAACCUAUAACUAAAUAAGUUAAAACUUUCAACAACGGAUCUCUUGGUUCUGGCAUCGAUGAAGAACGCAGCGAAAUGCGAUAAGUAAUGUGAAUUGCAGAAUUCAGUGAAUCAUCGAAUCUUUGAACGCAUAUUGCGCCCAUUAGUAUUCUAGUGGGCAGGACCGUUCGAGCGUCAUUUCAACCCUUAAGCCUUCGUUGCUUAGUGUUGGGAGCCUACGGCAACGUAGCUCCUCAAAGUUAGUGGCGGAGUUGGUUCACACUCUAGACGUAGUAAUUUUUUAUCUCGCCUAUUAGUUGGACUAAUCCCCUGCCGUAAAACCCCCAAUUUAUCAAGGUUGACCUCGAAUCGGUUCAGACAAACUCGCUAAAUUGAAGCAUCUUAGUCAGCGAAGGAAAAGAAACCAACAGGGAUUGCCCUAGUAACGGCGAGUGAAGCGGCAACAGCUCAAAU
rnacentral:rRNA from 1 species